GACGAAGCCUGGCGGCGUGCCUAAUACAUGCAAGUGGGACGGAAGGGAACACACUGUGCUUGGACACGGUGUUUACUUGAGUCGGCAACGGGUGAGUAACGCGAAGGUAACGUGCCUAUUAGCGCCGGAAUUCUAUUGCAUUGCAUAGCUAAUACCGCAUAAUAAAUUUUAUUGCAUGAUAAUUGAUUGAAACAUGCAAGCGCAUCAGUAGUAGAUCCAGGUGCGUUGUAUUAGCAUGUUGGUAAGGUAAGAGCUAUCCAAGGCGACGAUACAUAGCGCACCUGAGAGGCUGUACGGCCACACAGGGACAGAGACAGCCCGGAGACUGGUACGGGAGGCAGCAGUACCGAAUCUAGGCGAAUGGACGAUUGUCUGACGGACCAACGCGCCGUGAGUGUAGAAGGAAAUCGGAUCGAUUAGCUCUGUUGAAAGUCAAGUACGUGUGUGAGAGUGGAUAGUUCACACAGUGACGGUAGCUUACCAGAUUCGCACGCGUAACUACGAGCCAGCACGGGCGGUUUAACGUAGGUCCCGAGCGUUGUCCCGAUUUAUUGGCCGUAAAGCCGAGCGCAGGGCCCAGGAAAGUCUGGAGUAAUUGGCUAUGGCUCAACCAUAGUGUGCUCUGGAUUCUGUCUGACUUGAGUGCAGAAGGCCAGAGUGGAAUUCCAUGAGUAGCGGUGAAAUGCGUAGAAAUAUGCAGGAACAGGAGUGGCGAAAGCGGCUCUCUGGUCUGUCACUGACGCUGAGGCUCGAUUGCGUGGCUAGCGAACAGGAAAAGAUACCCUGGUAGUCCACGGGCUAAACGAUGAGUGCUAGGUGUUAGGCCCUAACCGGGCCUUAGUCGGGGAGCUAACGCAAUAAGCACUCCCGGUGGGGAGUACGACCGCAAGGUUGAAACUCUUAGGAAUUGACGGGGGCCCGCACAAGCGGUGGAGCAUGUGGUUAUAUUCGAAGCAACGCGAAGAAGGUUACCAGGUCUUGACAUGCGGAUGCUAUUCUUAGAGAUAGGAAGUUACAACGGUACAUCGGAGACAGGUGGUGCAUCCAAGUCGUCAGCUCGUGACGUGAGAUGUUGGGUUAAGUCGCGCAACGAGCGCUUGGCUUAUUGUUAGAAGCCAUCAUUAAGUAGGGCACUCUAGCGAGACUGCCGCUAAUAAACCGGAGGAAGGUGGCGAUGACGUCAUAUCAUCAUGCCGGUUAUGACCUGGCCUACACACGUGCUACAAUGGUCGGUACAACGAGUUGCGAGCCGGUGACCGCAAGCUAAUCUCUGAAAGCCGAUCUCAGUUCGGAUUGGAGGCUGCAACUCGCGUCCAUGAAGUCCGAAUCGCUAGUAAUCGCGCAUCAGCACCGGGCGGUGAAUACGUUCCCGGGCCUUGUACACACCGCCCGUCUCACCACGAGAGUUUGUAACACCCGAAGUCGGUGAGGUAACCUUAAAGGGGCCAGCCGCCUAAGGUGGGAUGGAUGAUUGGGCUGAAGUCGUAACAAGGUAGCCGAAUCGGAUGGUGC
rnacentral:rRNA from 1 species